rnacentral:SRP_RNA from 3 species
UUGUGCUAGAUGGGGAGAUAGCGGUGCCCUGUACUCGCAAUCCGCUUUAGCGAGAUCGAAUUCCCGCUCUGAGGCCCGAAUGGGUUGGAGUGACUUUGAUGCAAUGGUGUUGAUCGUAAGGUCUUCAUGCGACGGUAAACUUGUGAACCCCGCCAGGUCCGGAAGGAAGCAACGGUAAGCAUGCUUUAUCGGGUGCCGUGGAAUAGCCGGAUGGGAGUCGUUGUUCAAAUGUAUCGUCAAUUUCGUGACGGUCGAAGACGGGUGCACAA